rnacentral:tmRNA from 1 species
GGGGAUGUUUAUGGAUUCGUCAGAGUAUGAAUCUAUCAUGUUGCGUAUCUUGGUUGCUCAAGUAAAAAAGCCGAGGCUAAUAACCGGAAACCAAAAUUUUUCUUACGCGGCUUAAGAAUAGCAAGCGUGCCAACUAAGUUGUUUGCUUACGACACUUACACGGCUCAUAAAGUAAGCAAUCCUAUUGUUGUUGACAAGCUUCAAUAAGAUUACGCAUUGUCUCGAUGACAUCUUUCUUGUUUAUUGUUAGGAUGUCAUUUAAAUCUCUCAAUAAACUACAUACGUAGAUGCAUGGUAUCAUCAUAUUUUGCACAGGGGUUCAACUCCCCUCAUCUCCACCA